CUCAAAGAUUAAGCCAUGCAUGUGUAGUACACAUCAUCUGUUGUUGAAACCGCGGAAAGCUCAUUAAACCUGUUAUAAUUUACUUGGAUAUAAUCGGCCACGUGAGAUUUAUCGCACGUGGCUGUUACAUGGAUAACUGUAGUAAUUCUAGAGCUAAUACAUGCUAAAAAUCAAUGUCCCUUGUCGGACAUUUGAUACACUGAGGGUGUGUCCAACGUGUUAAAACCAACCUAAAAUUUUUAGGUGAUUAUACCUCAACGUACGUUAAUCGCAUUUUCCUCUACACCUUCGGGUGUUGGAGGGUCCAAUAUGGCGAUAGUCCAAUUAAGUUCCAGACCUAUCAACUACAUCCCAGAGUAGUGGCCUGGUAUGGUUGUGACGGGUACGGGGAAUAAGGGUUCGAUUCCGGAGAGGGAGCCUGAGAAAAUAGCUACCACUUCCAAGGAAGGCAGCAGGCGCGCAAAUUACCCAAUGCUGGAUCUUUUAUUCAGUGAGGUAGAGACGAGAAAUAUCAAUAUGGGUUCUAUUCACAUAGGGCUCAUGUUUGAAAUGAGAACAAUCUAGCUUCCUUAUCUAGUACCAAUUGGAGGGCAAGUCUGGUGCCAGCAGCCGCGGUAAUUCCAGCUCCAAUAGCGUAUAUGAAAGUUGCUGCAGUUAAAAAGCUCAUAGUUGGAUUAUUGAAGCAAGUUCAAAUGGAUCAGUAGGGUAGCAUUUAUGUUGCCUUGCUGAGCCAUGUCAAAUUGAACUGGCUUUGUUAGGCAUGGGACAUUAUUACAAGCAGGUUUUCGUGCCUAUUACCGUCAUGUCCCAAGGCUUGACGGUAUGUAGCCGGGCCUGUUUGUGAGUCCCGUAUAUGCACAUUUACUUUGAAUAAAUUAGAGUGUUUAAAGCAAGCAUUACGCUUUUGAAUAGAUUAGCAUGGGAUAUAUUAAUUCAGACUAUAGUCUGCGUUUUGUUGGUUUUAUAAGGCUAUUGUCAAGGUUAAUAGGGGCAGUCGGGGUUGAAUGUAUUGUCUGGCUAGAGGUGAAAUUCUGUAACCCAAACAAGACAAACUAAUGCGAAGGCAUUCAACAAGGAUGUCUUCAUUAAUCAAGAACGAAAGCUACGGGCGCAAAGAUGAUCAGAUACCGUCGUAGUCGUAGCUGUAAAUUAUACCAACUAAGGCUCCGAAGGAGUCUACUUCAAAGCCACUUUGAAGGAUUGACCCUCCAGUAUCUUGGGGACUAUGAUUUUGAAAUGAGAAAUCUUUAAGUAUUCGGGUUCUGGGGGGAGUAUGGUCGCAAGUCUGAAACUUAAAAGAAUUGACGGAAAGGCACCACCAGGCGUGGAAUCUGCGGCUUCAAUUUGACUCAACACGGGGAAACUCACCAGGUCAGUUUUCAUAAAGGAUUGACAGAUUAAAAGCUCUUUCUUGAUCGUGAUUUAAGGCGGUGCAUGGCCGUUUCAUAUUGGUGAAGUGAUUUGUCUGCUUAAUUGCGAUAACGGAUGAGACUUUGGCCUACAUAAUAGAACAGGCUAAAGGCGUUCUCUAAAUAAUGGCAGCAUUGGUUCGCCAGUGUUGUCGUUGAUAUUUUUCUGUUUGCUCCAUGCUUCGGUGUGGAGUGGAUGGAGGAGAACGCCCAUUAAAAUGGGCAUCUUCGGCCAUUUAUGGCUUGAGGUGUCUUCAUCGUAGCCUUGUUUGUGCGUCUCUCUUUGGUGUGUCAUGGCUUGGAUGGACAGUAGCAAUACUGUCUUCCAUGUUGUGAUGCAUCUCUCCUAGAGAGGCGCAUGCAUUCUUCUUUGGGGGACUGUUGACAUAUGAUUAUAAUAAUCAUGAAUCAAAGGAAGUUCAAAGCGACAACAGGUCUGUGAUGCCCUUCGAUGUUCUGGGCUGCACGCGCAUUACAAUGAAAAGGUUCUAAAGGGUGAUUUGGCUCCAUUUAAAUCAUUCAGUAUUCUGCCUUCGGGUAGAGUAUUGGGUAUUGGGUGGAGCUAUUUUGCCUAAUCUGAAAAGAUGUCUAAGCCAACACGUGUGUUUGAUGCAAAUCUAGCAUAUGGGGUGGCUUAUUUUCUGACAUGGGUAAUCCCCAAACCUUUAUCAAUACGGGGAUAGAAUAUUGCAACUAUUAUUCUUGAACGAGGAAUGCCUAGUAAGUGCAAGUCAUCAACUUGCGCUGACUACGUCCCCGCCUUUUGUACACACCGCCCGUCGCUCCUACCGAUUGAAUGUGGGCAUGAGGAUCACGGAAGCCUGAUUUUAAGAGGUCUCGGCCUCUUUUUACCAAUUGGGCUGAAGUGUUUCGAAUGUCUAGAUUUAGAGGAAGGAGAAGUCGUAACAAGGUCUCCGUAGGUGAACCUGCAGAAGGAUCA
rnacentral:rRNA from 1 species